rnacentral:rRNA from 1 species
UACGUAGGAAGCGAGCGUUGUCCGGAAUCACUGGGCGUAAAGCGCGUGUAGGCGGUACGGCAAGUCUGCUGUGAAAGCGCCCGGCUUAACCGGGCGAGGUCGGCGGAAACUGCUGAACUGGAGGACGGUAGAGGGGGGUGGAAUUCCCGGUGUAGUGGUGAAAUGCGCAGAUAUCAGGAAGAACACCCGUGGCGAAAGCGGCUCUCUGGAACGGUACUGACGCUGAGACGCGAAAGCGUGGGGAGCGAACAGG